rnacentral:lncRNA from 1 species
AUGCCCCCGCUGCCUUGCAGACACACACUUGCACACGCCCUCCACAAACACACAGGCACGCGCGACGGGGCUCGCCAUGCACAUCGGAGCGCCGAGCACUCGCCCGCCCGCAUGCACGCACGCACCACACGCACGCAGGCACGCACGCAACCGGCCGGCCCCGGGGUUGCGGCCUCGCCUCGCCUCGCCGCUGGCUGUGAGAGCCGCCCAGGCACACAUGGGUGGGGGAGGCCCAGCCAGAGGCCUCUCCCCCGCACAGACCCACACGCACACCGGCACGAGUUGGAGAUGGCUUCCUCAAAAGAGAGCUGGAAAGUUUGCUGCCAGCGAAGGGGCCUAGACAUUCCGCGAAAUGACUCACACUGCACCUUGUGGACAUUAAAUGUUGUCUUUUUCUGCGUUAAACACCAACAACCAAGAAGCCUCACCCCCUGCCGUGGGGGCAGGGUGAAGUGGAGGAGCUCUCCCGUCGGGCCUCCGCCUCCGCCAGUGGGGCAGUCCUGAGAGAGCAGAAUCUCCUACCUCCUGGUUCAUACCUCAGGCCAGGCCUGCCUCUUGGCAGGAUGCCAACUGGGUGAACUUGGGGAGCCAGGAUGCCUUCCACAGGCUGCCCCCCCCCAGCCCACUUCAUUCCCCCAUCCUGGGCCCCUGCGGUCUGGCUGGUGUCCCCCUGUGGGGUUUCCCAGCCUGAGCCCUUCCCGAUGGCUCCUGCUGAUCAAGACAGUCUGUCUUUACUGCCAUCGCCUCUUUAUUGCACAACUCCAGGGGGCGCCAUUCACCUUCUAGAUCAUGUAGGGCCCCAUGAGAUGUGACCGGAACCCCCUCCCUUCACCUGGCCCUCUUUUUCCUCUACUUGUGUCCCCAUCCCCCAGCCACCACCCCCCACCCCGCAGAAGUCACAUGGUGCUCCCUCUGGCAAAACAUCCUUGACAUCCUGGUCCACCUGCACUGGCUGCAGACAGAUCGCUCAAGGCCAGGGCCACCCCCCACCCCCAGCUUCACACUGAGGACACAUUAGAGAUCAGAGAGACACAAGAUAGGUGUCCAGACAACAGAUGCUGAGGCCUGAGAGAUUAACUCUGGUUGCGCUGGACAAUGGCCCACAACCCCUGGUUGCUGCCUUGCCUGAUAAGUGCCCAGAGCAGGUGCCUGCCCCUCUGCCCAUGCCCCAGGCACUUUUCCCGGGCUGAGCUCUGGCUCUAAGAUAAGGACUGCGAACCAGUGGGGUUGGAGGCUCUAUGGGGCUUGUCGUCAUUUGCGGAAUGCUGUCUGAAGUCACUUCUUCCUUGUUUUUGUUUUUCCGAAUGAACUACAAGCUUGGGUCGCUGCCUUCCCCGAUUCCUCCAAAUCUCUCACCAUUCCAGAGGGGCAGCCCAAGGGGCACUGAUCUGUGGCCCCAGCACCAGCCCGCCCUCCCAGCAACCACCCUGCCCGUGGUUGUCACACUGAGCGUCCCACGCACCCACCGCCACCCAGGGCCCCACAGCACCUCCUUUCAGGCCGGCAUCUUCCUUCAGGAGCGCGGCCUCCCCCGCCCCGCCCAGCUGCUGCUCAGCUCACAAAGAAGUGAAACCCAGCGGUCCUCGGAAGUUUUGCAGGGGCUCUCAUGGUGGUGCCUGGGGCCAGCCUGAAAGGGAGACAGGCACCGCCCCAUUUUCAUCACUGUCAGCUGAGUCAGAUGGGGGCAUCAAGUGGUUUUGCAAGAACCCCAGACAGGCAUGCUUCCCCAGGUAGGUGGCUGGCCAGGUGAAAGGCACGGUUCGGGACGUUGCUACCGUCCAUGUCCAUCCGUCUGCAUGCCAGUGUUUUAGCCUGGCACACUCCCCCCACCCCGCCCCUCCCCUCCCCAUUCAGGCCAGAGUAAGAAACUGCCACCCAGGAAGAGGAGUGUUGCUUUAACCUAUCCCAGGGAGUUUUACUCCAUAGCUACGCAGCAAGCUUUUCAGAAUAAACCCUUCUUACGUGGGCCA